AGAGACCAAGUGAUCUACCGCUAAACCUGAGCCCACCUCGACCCUAUUUCUGACGUGUCCUCUGCUAGCGGGGGGAGUGGGAGGGAGAGGAAGGGGCCUCGGGGGGAUGGAUCCCUUAGCCGCUAUUGUCAACUUCCUCGGCAGGAGUGGAUGUCUGUAAAGGUUGGAAGGCUCUGAAGCGUCCCGAGGUCCCCUCUUUCCCACCCUACCUGUCGGCUGCGCGGCUCCACCACUUGCCAAACUAGGAGGAUUAAGUCGGUCUCGUCCGAGCCUAGGUCCGGCCCCAGCGCACCGGCAGUGGCCCCGAACAAAACCACCAGCGACUGAGCAGGCACUCUGAGUCCUCCGCAAAAGAAUGUGCAGGAUCAGAGGCCUCUUUCCAUUCUGCAAGGGUCACGCAAGACCCAUGGAAUUCAACAGGAGGCAAUCUAGGGACUAUAAAAGGUCGCGACGUCUGGCUUGAGGUUAAUGGAAGUUACAAAGGGUCAAAAGCCGACAGUGAGCGCUACCAGGUGUCGGGUCGGCGUAGUGCCGGCAGUGCAAGGCGCACGUUACUGUGGACCUGAAGGCUCAGGCCUUGGUGCCAAGGCCGCCCUGUGGGCUCAGGAUAGUUUCCCACCUACUCGACUGUAAUUAGUACUCUGGCGAGAGUAAAAAGGUACUGGCGUGGGACUUAGAAUACAGGAUGCCACCGGCUGAAGAAGAACCUUGUGUGUUUGGAAAAGCGGGCUGCUUCCUAUCGGUCUUGGAUAAAAGGCAACCCAGAGCCCGGGUGCAUCCCUAACUCAUGCCCAAGGAAGGUCGUGCGGAGCCAGAGGACCUAGAAUGUAUAGUGCGCCUUCUGGGUUUGUCCACACAAUAGCGCAGGAACACAGCGACCCAAUAUAGUGAGAAGUGGCCGCAGCGCACACCCUGAGACCCUUCACCAGGCGGCCCACCCGGAGCCUGCCUACUCAGCCCCGCUACCACGAUAAGCCUGGAAUGUCAAAUAUUUGUUCUAGGAACCCAGUGAAACCUUGAGGUAAAGCCCCUCCCCUCCUCCCUCCCAUUCCGGAGCGCGCCUGCGUCAGUCCAGGCUUUCCGGUAAGGACACUCCCUUCCAACUAGUUCCUUCUCGACACCCCUGCAACCCAUCGUCCUGACUAUUUAAACUUCACAAGGUCUUCGCUACAGGCUCAGGUUCAGUGAGGCAGAGUCUUGGCUUCCCUACCCAGUUAUCCCAGAGCUACUGGUAUCGGUUUCUACCCACAACCUCCGAGCAAGGCUCCCCUUUCAACCUGUAGACCUCGCCUCCCGAUUCUCGGGAGAUCUUGCUGACUGUGGAAUCCCUGGCUGUUCCGAACCCCCUGGAAAGAAGCGGCUGUUCCCAGGUUUCUGCAAGGUAACGAAUCUGAAGAGUCAACAGAAUUGAGCGGCUCCAUUCAUUCGACUCUGGUUCUCUCAACCAGGCAUUCCCCAUAUUAAAACAAUUCCAGAACUUCAAA
rnacentral:lncRNA from 1 species